rnacentral:rRNA from 1 species
GAUGAACGCUGGCGGCGUGCUUAACACAUGCAAGUCGAACGAGAAGUGAAGACGGAAACCUUCUGGCGGAAGGCUUUAUUUCGAGUGGCGGACGGGGGAGUAACGCGUGGGUAACCUGCCUCAUACAGGGGGAUAACAGUUGGAAACGACUGUUAAUACCGCAUAAGACCACAGCACCGCAUGGUGCGGGGGUAAAAACUCCGGUGGUAUGAGAUGGACCCGCGUUCGAUUAGCCAGUUGGCGGGGUAACGGCCCACCAAAGCGACGAUCGAUAGCCGAUCUGAGAGGAUGACCGGCCACAUUGGGACUGAGACACGGCCCAAACUCCUACGGGAGGCAGCAGUGGGGAAUAUUGCACAAUGGGGGAAAACGUGAUGCAGCGACGCCGCGUGAGUGAAGAAGUAUUUCGGUAUGUAAAGCUCUAUCAGCAGGGAAGAAAAUGACGGUACCUGAGUAAGAAGCCCCGGCUAACUACGUG